rnacentral:rRNA from 1 species
ACUGUAGGCUGCAACUCGCCUACACGAAGCUGGAAUCGCUAGUAAUCGCGGAUCAGCACGCCGCGGUGAAUACGUUCCCGGGCCUUGUACACACCGCCCGUCACACCAUGAGAGUCUGUAACACCCAAAGCCGGUGGGAUAACCUUUAUAGGAGUCAGCCGUCUAAGGUAGGACAGAUGAUUAGGGUGAAGUCGUAACAAGGUAAC